UACAGAGGUCUCAAGCGUUGUUCGGAUUCAUUGGGCGUAAAGGGUGUGUAGGUGGCGCGCUAAGUCGGGUGUGAAAUUUCGGAGCUUAACUCCGAAACUGCAUUCGAUACUGGCGUGCUUGAGGACUGGAGAGGAGACUGGAAUUCAUGGUGUAGCAGUGAAAUGCGUAGAGAUCAUGAGGAAGACCAGUGGCGAAGGCGGGUCUCUGGACAGUUACCGACGCUGAGGCACGAAGGUCAGGGGAGCAAACGGG
rnacentral:rRNA from 1 species